AAUGGGUCAGCGACUUAUAUUCUGUAGCAAGGUUAACCGAAUAGGGGAGCCGAAGGGAAACCGAGUCUUAACUGGGCGUUAAGUUGCAGGGUAUAGACCCGAAACCCGGUGAUCUAGCCAUGGGCAGGUUGAAGGUUGGGUAACACUAACUGGAGGACCGAACCGACUAAUGUUGAAAAAUUAGCGGAUGACUUGUGGCUGGGGGUGAAAGGCCAAUCAAACCGGGAGAUAGCUGGUUCUCCCCGAAAGCUAUUUAGGUAGCGCCUCGUGAAUUCAUCUCCGGGGGUAGAGCACUGUUUCGGCAAGGGGGUCAUCCCGACUUACCAACCCGAUGCAAACUGCGAAUACCGGAGAAUGUUAUCACGGGAGACACACGGCGGGUGCUAACGUCCGUCGUGAAGAGGGAAACAACCCAGACCGCCAGCUAAGGUCCCAAAGUCAUGGUUAAGUGGGAAACGAUGUGGGAAGGCCCAGACAGCCAGGAUGUUGGCUUAGAAGCAGCCAUCAUUUAAAGAAAGCGUAAUAGCUCACUGGUCGAGUCGGCCUGCGCGGAAGAUGUAACGGGGCUAAACCAUGCACCGAAGCUGCGGCAGCGACACUAUGUGUUGUUGGGUAGGGGAGCGUUCUGUAAGCCUGUGAAGGUGUACUGUGAGGUAUGCUGGAGGUAUCAGAAGUGCGAAUGCUGACAUAAGUAACGAUAAAGCGGGUGAAAAGCCCGCUCGCCGGAAGACCAAGGGUUCCUGUCCAACGUUAAUCGGGGCAGGGUGAGUCGACCCCUAAGGCG
rnacentral:rRNA from 1 species